rnacentral:rRNA from 1 species
UACGGAGGGUGCGAGCGUUAUCCGGAUUUACUGGGUUAAAGGGUGUGUAGGCGGGCUAUUAAGUCAGCGGUGAAAUCUUCGGGCUCAACCCGGAAACUGCCAUUGAUACUAUUAGUCUUGAAUACUGUGGAGGUAUGCGGAAUGUGUCAUGUAGCGGUGAAAUGCUUAGAGAUGACACAGAACACCGAUUGCGAAGGCAGCGUACUACACAGUGAU